CAGCCGCCGCGGAAUACGGAGGGUGCAAGCGUUAAUCGGAAUUACUGGGCGUAAAGCGCACGCAGGCGGUCUGACAAGUCAGAUGUGAAAUCCCCGGGCUUAACCUGGGAACUGCAUUUGAAACUGUCAGGCUGGAGUCUUGUAGAGGGGGGUGGAAUUCCAGGUGUAGCGGUGAAAUGCGUAGAGAUCUGGAGGAAUACCGGUGGCGAAGGCGGCCCCCUGGACAAAGACUGACGCUCAGGUGCGAAAGCGUGGGGAGCAAACAGGAUUAGAUACCCCUGUAGUCCCUGUCUCUUAUACA
rnacentral:rRNA from 1 species